rnacentral:lncRNA from 10 species
GUAAGAAGUUCCCUGACUUGUGGCUCCUUCCUCCUGUUAAAUGCCAGGCACUCUUUUAGAUGUUGUUGCUACAGUGCUCUUUUUGGUAUUGUUCAUACAGAGGAGAACAAGUUCAUGUGGGGCAAGAGGGAAUUAACUAAAGAAAUACAUUGGAAGCUAAUUGUAAAGACUGGACAUAAUUCUACAGGUCGAGGAGUUUCGCAGACAUAACUCCUUGGGAGCAGUGCCCAGGUCAAGAAAGAAAAUGUGGCCAAUGCCCCAGGAUCUUAUUUGGUCAUCCAGGCUGGACUGCAGUGGUGUGAUCAUAGCUCACUGCAGCCUCAAACUGCUGGACUCCAGUGAUCUUCCAGCCUCAGCCUCCCCCGGUAGCAAGGACUACAGGGUCCCAGAAGGAACCAACGCUGCCCACACCUUAAUUUGAGACUUCUGGCCUCUGAGAAAUGAGAAAGAGUCUCACUCUCUGUCGCCCAGCCUGGAGUGCAGUGGCAUCAUCUGAGCUCACUACAACCUCCGCCUCCCGGGUUCAAGCGAUUCUCCUGCCUCAGCCUCCUGAGUAGCUGGGACUACAGGCACGCGCCACCACGCCCAGCUAAUUUUCGUAUUUUUAAUAGACAUGGGGUUUCACCAUGUUGGCCAGGCUGCUCUUGAACUGCUAACCUCAAGUGAUCCACCAGCGUUGGCCUCUCAAAGUACUAGGAUUACAGUGCUAGGAGCCACCAUGCCCGGCCGCCUCUCUUUUCUUUUACACAUGAAGAAAAAGUGGUCAGAGAAGUUAACUUGGUCAGUGCCAAAAGCACUGGAAGUGAGUAGGACCAAGCUUUUCAUCUAGAUUUGUUUGUUAGACUCUAAAUCCAAAUUCACAACAAGAUCAGAAUAUGAGAAACCUAAGGAACAAAAUUCUAGGAAUCAUUUCUAGAAACUGUGGCUAUUGAAAAAGCACAGACCUAGGGAAUCAAAUUAUUUUCCCUGCCACCAGCACAUGGGUAGGCCUGUGACAAAUUCCAUGCUCUGGACCCCAGAUUCCUCAGUGAGAAUAGAAGGGGCUAGAGACAUCAGGGAAUUGGAUUUGGUGACUUUAAUACCCACUCAGCUCCAAAGCAUUCUUGAAUGAUGCACGAUUUAUGAAUAUAUAUAUUGAAAUUUACUGAUGGGUGAACAGCUCUCAACAUGAGAUUUUUGUUGUAUGCCUUAAAAAAGAUUAUACAUAAAUAUGCGUGUGUGUGUGUAUGUAUGUUUCGAUGUAUAUGAACCCAUGAUCUGAAAAAUGGCCACUGUGGCUUGUGGAAACCUAUUAAUCUCUGCUGUUCCACCCAACAUCCUCAGAGAAAAAAAUAAACAACUUUUUGAAAGUGCUGCCAUGGGGUCAGACCAAAUACUGUGGCCACUUCCAAGGGGUUUGCCUUGAUUUGCCUGGAUUCCUGUUCAUGUGACAUCUGCCUUCUAAUUCAAGGAUAUGAUCAAUUCAAUGUGUGAGUUAUCAAUCAAGGACUGGCAACAGUGAUGCUGAACAAGCCUGGUGGAAGGAAAGAGAAGGCAGGCCAGAGCCCAGACAGACGCAUUCACAAACCUUACAAAGAGGACAGGCUAAUUAGGGGCUGUAGUUCUCCCUCUCUUUAUAGUUGGUAUAAGAGGAGUGGUAAUCGUAGUGUCCAAAAAUAUAUGGGCUACAUAGUUGCUUAGUAAGCUGUGGGUAUGUGGUUUCUUCUGCAAGGUGCUUUCUUUCUGAUAAAGAGAUUACGUUGUUUGUUUGUUCAUUUAUUGAACAUAUUUACACUUACACACACACACACACACACACACAAUGUUCCAGAUACCGUACUUGGCAAUGGUAGUUAGACCUUGCUCUUGCAAAAUUUAUAAUGAAGUUGGGAAGUGUGGUUUGAUCCCUCAAAGUGUCCAAAUCCUAAUCCCCAG